rnacentral:rRNA from 1 species
AAUCAACGCUGGCGGCGUGCCUCAGACAUGCAAGUCGAACGAUUAAAGCUCCCUUCGGGGAGUGCAUAAAGUGGCGCACGGGUGAGUAACACGUAAGUAAUCUACCCUCGAGUGGGGAAUAACGUCCGGAAACGGACGCUAAUACCGCAUAAUGCAGCGGCAUCGCAAGAUGACAGUUGUUAAAGGAGUAAUUCGCUUGAGGAGGAGCUUGCGGCAGAUUAGCUAGUUGGUAAGGUAACGGCUUACCAAGGCUACGAUCUGUAUCCGGUCUAAGAGGACGGUCGGACACACUGACACUGAAUAACGGGUCAGACUCCUACGGGAGGCAGCAGUCGGGAAUUUUGGGCAAUGGGCGAAAGCCUGACCCAGCAACGCCGCGUGAAGGAUGAAGUAUUUCGGUAUGUAAACUUCGAAAGAAUGGGAAGAAUAAAUGACGGUACCAUUUAUAAGCUCCGGCUAACUACGUGCCAGCCGCCGCGGUAAAAC